rnacentral:rRNA from 1 species
GAUGAACGCUGGCGGCGUGCUUAACACAUGCAAGUCGAACGGUGAAGGCGGAGCUUGCUCUGCUGGAUCAGUGGCGAACGGGUGAGUAACACGUGAGCAAUCUGCCCCUGACUCUGGGAUAAGCGCUGGAAACGGCGUCUAAUACUGGAUACGAGCUGCGAAGGCAUCUUCAGCAGCUGGAAAGAACUUCGGUCAGGGAUGAGCUCGCGGCCUAUCAGCUUGUUGGUGGGGUAAUGGCUCACCAAGGCGUCGACGGGUAGCCGGCCUGAGAGAGUGACCGGCCACACUGGGACUGAGACACGGCCCAGACUCCUACGGGAGGCAGCAGUGGGGAAUAUUGCACAAUGGGCGAAAGCCUGAUGCAGCAACGCCGCGUGAGGGACGACGGCCUUCGGGUUGUAAACCGCUUUUGGCAGGGAAGAAGCGAAAGUGACGGUACCUGCAGAAAAAGCACCGGCUAACUACGUG